rnacentral:rRNA from 1 species
UACGUAGGGGGCGAGCGUUGUCCGGAUUUAUUGGGCGUAAAGAGCUCGUAGGCGGUUUGGUAAGUUGGAUGUGAAAUCUCCAGGCUCAACCUGGAGGGGUCAUUCGAUACUGCCGUGACUAGAGUUCGGUAGAGGAGUGUGGAAUUCCUGGUGGAGCGGUGAAAUGCGCAGAGAUCAGGAGGAACACCCGUAGCGAAGGCGGCACUCUGGGCCGAUUACUGACACUGAGGAGCGAAAAGCGUGGGGGAGCGAACAGG